GGCGCUGCACGGGCGCUGAACGGGCACUGCACAGGCACUGCACGGCCAUUGCAUGGGCACUGCACAGGAGGAAGCAGGCACCGGCCCCUCACCUGGCGAUGGCCAUGGCCUUGAAGCUGGUGUGGCCCUCGGAGACGGCUUUCUGGAUGGCCGUGCGCUCGGCACACACCCCCAGGCUGAGGCAGGCGUUUUCCACAUUGCAACCUAGCAGCAAAGCGGUUACAUGACUCAAUGGGAAAAUGUCGUAAAACAUCCUCGGGGGCGGGAAAACACAAUGGAAAAACGCCAGUUCCUCAUUAGUGAGCUCUCGCUGCGGCUCGGCGCUCUCCUCCAGAAAACCUCGGGAAAGAAUCGGCUCUGCGGAGCUGCCUGGGAAGCGGCGGCAAGAAGCAAGCGGCAGCUCCCGGAGACGGCGAGCCGGGAGCGAGCGGCGGGCAGGCAGCCGCAGGCGCCACCGCGUCAAAGCGCCAAAAAGCUGCGGGAUCAAACGAAAACCGCUCGCGGAGCGGCAGCGGUGGGGGGGGGGGCCUGGAUAACGCGGGAGCUAUAAAUAACCGGGCUGGCAAACACCCGCUUUCGGGGAGGGUUCGGAUCUGCUGCAAGAGGCCCUGUCAGAUCCGACCGCUUUGGAGGCAGCCAGGCCGUAACGGCUCAGCUCAGACGCUGCCCGGUGCCUUAGGAAUACCCGGAGACGCCCAUCCAGCUUCGAAAUCCGUUAUUUCCU